rnacentral:rRNA from 1 species
GAUGAACGCUAGCGGCAGGCCUAACACAUGCAAGUCGAGGGGCAGCACAGAAACAGCAAUGUUUUGGUGGCGACCGGCGGACGGGUGCGUAACGCGUAUGCAACCUACCUUUAACAGGGGGAUAACGGAGAGAAAUUUCCACUAAUACCCCAUAACAUCGAUCAAGGCAUCUUGAUUGGUUGAAAACUCCGGUGGUUAAAGAUGGGCAUGCGUUGUAUUAGGUAGUUGGUGAGGUAAUGGCUCGCCAAGCCUACGAUACAUAGGGGGACUGGGAGGUUAGCCCCCCACACUGGGACUGAGACACGGACCAGACUCCUACGGGAGGCAGCAGUGAGGAAUAUUGGUCAAUGGGGGCAACCCUGAACCAGCCAUGCCGCGUGCAGGAAGACGGCUCUAUGAGUUGUAAACUGCUUUUAAACAGGGAUAAAGCACAGUAUGUAUACUGUGUUGAAGGUACUGUAAGAAUAAGGAUCGGCUAACUCCGUGCCAGCCGCCGCCGUAA